rnacentral:misc_RNA from 1 species
GUAGGUGAACCUGCGGAAGGAUCAUUAACACGAAUACAUCCAUAUUCACACUCAACGGCAACCCUUUAUUCUCCCUACUCUAACACGCGAUCUUUAUCUUUUUUAAAAAGAAGAUAAAUGCUCUGUGCAGAGCAGGCUAUCCGCUUUUUCCUUCAAUAGAAGGAAAGUGCCCCAAUUUUAACCAAAACCCCAAUCACCUUUCCGCUUGUGCGUGUCCCUUGUGUCCGCAGAAGCGACAUUGUGAUUGUUCCCUUUACUUUAGUAAAAGGUUCAAUCGACUAUAUAUUCAAUAAGAAACAACUCUUAACAAUGGAUAUCUAGGUUCUC